rnacentral:rRNA from 1 species
AUGUUGGCAAUUCUGAUAGGUAGGGCAAAGGAGGCCGGUCAGGUGGGUGGCUUGGUGCCUCAUCUAGUUGAUGGUGGUGUGUCCAUCCUGCAGUGCGCUGAUAAUACAAUCAUCUUUAUGGAGCACAACUUGGCAAAAGCGAGAAAUAUGAAGCUGGUGUUAUGCUUAUUUGAACAAUUGACCGGAUUGAAGAUUAAUUUUCAUAAAAGCGAGUUGUUCUGUUUUGGCAGAGCCAAUGAGGAACAAGAGGAUUAUAGGCAAUUGUUCGGAUGCGAAUUGGGGGCAUUACCUUUCACGUACUUAGGUAUACCCAUUCACCAUCGUAAGCUGACAAACAGAGAAUGGAAGUGCAUCGAGGAUCGGUUUGAGAAGAAACUGAGUUGCUGGAAGGGCAAACUCAUGUCAUAUGGAGGCCGAUUGAUUCUUAUUAAUUCGGUGCUGACGAGUAUGCCUAUGUUUCUCUUAUCUUUCUUCGAAGUCCCAGUUGGUGUUAAGAAAAGGCUGGACUUCUAUCGAUCCCGAUUCUUCUGGCAGACUGAUGAACUAAAGAGAAAAUAUCGAUUCACCAAAUAG